rnacentral:rRNA from 1 species
GACGAACGCUGGCGGCGUGGAUUAGGCAUGCAAGUCGAACGGUAAACGUUCCUUCGGGGAUGUUGAGAGUGGCGAACGGGUGAGUAACACGUGGGCAACCUGCCCUAGAGACUGGGAUAACGUCCCGAAAGGGACGCUAAUACCGGAUAAUGCGUGAUCCGCUAAGUGGGUCACGCCAAAUGGUAGCUUCGGCUUCUGCUCUGGGAUGGGCCCGCGCCGGAUUAGCUUGUUGGUGAGGUAACGGCUCACCAAGGCAACGAUCCGUAGCUGGUCUGAGAGGACGAUCAGCCACACUGGGACUGAGACACGGCCCAGACACCUACGGGUGGCAG